rnacentral:rRNA from 1 species
UACGUAGGGGGCAAGCGUUGUCCGGAAUCAUUGGGCGUAAAGCGCGUGUAGGCGGCUAGAUAAGUCUGCUCUGAAAGCCCGGGGCUCAACCCCGGGAGGCGGGUGGAUACUGUCUAGCUCGAGUCCGGAAGAGGAGUGUGGAAUUCCUGGUGUAGCGGUGAAAUGCGCAGAUAUCAGGAGGAACACCAAUGGCGAAGGCAGCACUCUGGGACGUGACUGACGCUGAGACGCGAAAGCGUGGGGAGCAAGCAGG